rnacentral:rRNA from 1 species
UACGAAGGGAGCGAGCGUUGUUCGGAAUCACUGGGCGUAAAGCGCACGCAGGCGGAUUGAUAAGUCAGGGGUGAAAUCCUGGAGCUCAACUCCAGAACUGCCUUUGAUACUGGCGAUCUUGAGUCCGGGAGAGGUGAGUGGAACUCCGAGUGUAGAGGUGAAAUUCGUAGAUAUUCGGAAGAACACCAGUGGCGAAGGCGGCUCACUGGCCCGGUACUGACGCUGAUGUGCGAAAGCGUGGGGAGCAAACAGG